rnacentral:rRNA from 1 species
GAUGAACGCUGGCGGCGUGCCUAAUACAUGCCAGUCGAGCGAACAGACGAGGAGCUUGCUCCUCUGACGUUAGCGGCGGACGGGUGAGUAACACGUGGAUAACCUACCUAUAAGACUGGGAUAACUUCGGGAAACCGGAGCUAAUACCGGAUAAUAUAUUGAACCGCAUGGUUCAAUAGUGAAAGACGGUUUUGCUGUCACUUAUAGAUGGAUCCGCGCCGCAUUAGCUAGUUGGUAAGGUAACGGCUUACCAAGGCAACGAUGCGUAGCCGACCUGAGAGGGUGAUCGGCCACACUGGAACUGAGGCACGGUCCAGACUCCUACGGGAGGCAGCAGUAGGGAAUCUUACGCAAUGGGGGAAAGCCGGACGGAGCAACGCCGCGUGAGGGAUGAAGGUCUUCGGAUCGUAAAACUCUGUUAUUAGGGAAGAACAAAUGUGUAAGUAACUAUGCACGUCUUGACGGUACCUAAACAGAAAGCCACGGCUAACUACGUG